AAUCUUCAACCCACCUGUUUCUUAAUUGAACGUGUUUGUGGUGCUUGGAUCAUGGGCGCUUUGCCGGCCGAAAGGUCAGCUCGCCUGGAAUGCAUAAGCAACGUCGUCCUACGACAUCUGGCUUGACUUGGCGUGAUAGAUUAUUUCGCUGAGGACAACUUCGGUUGGCCGAUUCGUUUGGAAGAGGGCUCCCAAUGGAUUACCAUCUAUAA
rnacentral:misc_RNA from 1 species